ACGUACGCUGGCGGCACGCCUAACACAUGCAAGUCGAACGAAGUAGCAAUACUUAGUGGCAGACGGGUGAGUAACAUGUGGGUAUCUGCCCUUUGGCCUGGAAUAACACGAGGAAACUUGUGCUAAUACCGGAUAAGUCUUUACGGAGAAAGCUUUAUGCACCAUUGGAUGAGCCUGCACUUGAUUAGUUUGUUGGUGGGGUAAUGGCCUACCAAGACUGUGAUCAAUAGCUGAUUUGAGAGGAUGAUCAGCCACAUUGGGACUGAGACACGGCCCAAACUCCUACGGGAGGCAGCAGUGGGGAAUCUUGCACAAUGGAGGAAACUCUGAUGCAGCGAUGCCGCGUGAGUGAAGAAGGCCCUUGGGUUGUAAAGCUCUUUCGUCGGGGAAGAAAAUGACUGUACCCGAAUAAGAAGGUCCGGCUAACUUCGUGCCAGCAGCCGCGGUAAUACGAAGGGACCUAGCGUAGUUCGGAAUUACUGGGCUUAAAGAGUUCGUAGGUGGUUGAAAAAGUUGGUGGUGAAAUCCCAGAGCUUAACUCUGGAACUGCCAUCAAAACUUUUCAGCUAGAGUAUGAUAGAGGAAAGCAGAAUUUCUAGUGUAGAGGUGAAAUUCGUAGAUAUUAGAAAGAAUACCAAUUGCGAAAGGCAGCUUUCUGGAUCAUUACUGACACUGAGGAACGAAAGCAUGGGUAGCGAAGAGGAUUAGAUACCCUCGUAGUCCAUGCCGUAAACGAUGUGUGUUAGACGUUGGAAAUUUAUUUUCAGUGUCGCAGGGAAACCGAUAAACACACCGCCUGGGGAGUACGACCGCAAGGUUAAAACUCAAAUGAAUUGACGGGGACCCGCACAAGUAGUGGAGCAUGUGGUUUAAUUCGAAGAUACGCGCAGAACCUUACCAACACUUGACAUGUUCGUCGCGACUCUAAGAGAUUAGAGUUUUCGGUUCGGCCGGACGAAACACAGGUGCUGCAUGGCUGUCGUCAGCUCGUGUCGUGAGAUGUUGGGUUAAGUCCCGCAACGAGCGCAACCCUCACUUUUAGUUGCCAUCAUUAAGUUGGGCACUCUGAAAGAACUGCCAGUGAUAAGCUGGAGGAAGGUGGGGAUGACGUCAAGUCCUCAUGGCCCUUACGUGUUGGGCUACACACGUGCUACAAUGGUAUCUACAACAGGAAGCAAGACUGCGAAGUUAAGCAAAUCCCUAAAAGAUACCUCAGUUCGGAUUGCACUCUGCAACUCGAGUGCAUGAAGCUGGAAUUACUAGUAAUCGUGGAUCAGCGUGCCACGGUGAAUGCGUUCCCGGGUCUUGUACUCACCGCCC
rnacentral:rRNA from 1 species